rnacentral:rRNA from 1 species
GUCUAUGGCCAUGCCACCCGGAACAAGCCCGAUCCCAUCUGAUCUCGGAAGCUAAGCAGGGUUGGGCCUGGUUAGUACUUGGAUGGGAGACCACCUAGGAAGACCAGGUGCUGUAGGUG